rnacentral:rRNA from 1 species
UUGAACGCUGGCGGCAUGCCUUACACAUGCAAGUCGAACGGCAGCACGGGGCAACCUGGUGGCGAGUGGCGAACGGGUGAGUAAUGCAUCGGAACGUGCCAUUGAGUGGGGGGUAACGUAGCGAAAGUUACGCUAAUACCGCAUAUUCUGUGAGCAGGAAAGCAGGGGAUCGCAAGACCUUGCGCUCUUUGAGCGGCCGAUGUCAGAUUAGCUAGUUGGUGAGGUAACGGCUUACCAAGGCGACGAUCUGUAGCGGGUCUGAGAGGAUGAUCCGCCACACUGGAACUGAGACACGGUCCAGACUCCUACGGGAGGCAGCAGUGGGGAAUUUUGGACAAUGGGGCAACCCUGAUCCAGCCAUGCCGCGUGAGUGAAGAAGGCCUUCGGGUUGUAAAGCUCUUUCGGCCGGGAAGAAAUCGCAUGGGUUAAUACCCUGUGUGGAUGACGGUACCGGCAUAAGAAGCACCGGCUAACUACGUG